AUGCAUAACUGUCCACACCUGGCAGCAGCCAAUCGCAAUGCCUUUCAGGAGGUGACAGGGUCCUGGGCCCAGUUGGUGGUGACUCAGCCAUCUGCAGUGUCCAAGCCUGUGAAUAAGAGUGUUACCAUCUCCUGCACUGGAAGCAGCAGCAACGUUGGGGCUGGAGGUGUGUCCUGGUACCAGCAGCUCCCAGGCAGUGUCCCCAACGUUGUCAUCUAUGGUAGCAGUGCUCGGCCAGCGGGGGUCCCGUCCAGACUCUCAGCCUCCAGGUCAGGGAACGUGGCCUCCCUGAGCAUCUCUAGCCUCCAGGCUGAGGAUGAGGCUGAUUAUAACUGCUCAGUGUGGAACCACAGUCUCAAAGCUCACACACUGCUCCAGGCCUGUGGGGAAGGGAGACCCACACCUGCUGUCCCCUGA